rnacentral:rRNA from 1 species
UCGGAACACAGGUGCUGCAUGGCUGUCGUCAGCUCGUGUCGUGAGAUGUUGGGUUAAGUCCCGCAACGAGCGCAACCCUUAUCAUUAGUUGCUACGCAAGGGCACUCUAAUGGAGACUGCCGGUGACAACCGGAGGAAGGUGGGGAUGACGUCAAGUCCUCAUGGCCCUUAUGGGUAGGGCGUUCACACGUCAUACAAUGGUCGGUACAGAGGGUUGCCAAGCCGCGAGGCGGGAGCCAAUCCCACAAAGCCGAUCGUAGUCCGGAUUGUUCUCUGCAACUCCGAGAGCAUGAAGUCGGAAUCGCUAGUAAUCGCAGGUCAGCAUACUGCGGUGAAUACGUUCCCGGGUCUU